rfam:Syntrophothermus lipocalidus DSM 12680, complete genome.
CAUCCCUUUAAAGUAGUCCUGAGAGGCUAGCAAGGGAGGCCGGUUAGUACCAGGUUGAUGGAGGUGGAUUUCAAGCCUUCCCUGCUAGCGGGGAAGGCAUUUUUAU